AGCAGCUAUUGUAUACGGCACUCGCAGCCGGGUAGCUGAACAGCCUGCCCAUCCUUUGACAGCUCGGUACUUGACGUCAGGGUACCGUAUGGCCGUGGUUAUACUUGGCGACGUGUCGUCGACCAUUUGACUGUAUGACAAUUAGUUUAAAAUACCAGUGAACCAUUUGUUUUAGACCAAGAUGAUGUUUAGCUUUCUUUCUUUCUUUAGCUAAUACGCUUGUAAGCUAACUAACUAGCAUUGACAGCGAACUAACGUUAGCAACUUGUUAACGUUAGCCAGCUAGCUAACGUUAGCAACAUGGAUCCUCCCAGCACUGUAAUAGCCAGCAAGCUAUAGCCACACUGUCUCAUUCUCAAUUUGGUAACUAUCUUAACUAUUUUAUCUUUUUUUUUUUACAUGUCUUGAUUAAACAUCAAGUGUGCUGUUAGCCCUUUUCUCUAAUCCGCCAGUAUUUCGUGGUCAGUCUAGUUUUCUUUACAGGAUAACGUCAACAGGCAUUGUUUAUCGAGGCUCAGCUGUAGCUGCCUCUAUUGUUUACAUGGAUACGCUAGGCUGAAGUGCACUGUGGGCAUGUGGUGGUCGUACGCGUAACAAUACUGGAUCAGCUACAGAACAACCACAGUGGACAUAUGGAGAUGGGGCUUUGAAGGAGAACAGCUGUCCCUGUUGGACUGUUUGACGUUGUGUGGGCGUUGGACACAGGACAGGAGUUGUUGCUUAACCUGAAGCAAUACUUCACAAGGAGAAUGGGAAAUAAACGGUGCUGGAAACUGGUCCACACUUCUGGCACUGGAAUGUUGCUGAAGACCCUACUGAUCACCAGUGUUCUUGGCUGGGCGAAAUGUCAAGAGAGCCAGAGCAUGACACCAGAGGAGAAGAUUGUUAUCAGGGACCAGAUAAUUGAGAUGUUUGAUCAUGCUUAUGGCAGUUACAUGAAAUAUGCCUAUCCAGCAGAUGAGCUGAUGCCUCUUAGCUGCAGGGGGAGAGUCCGUGGCCAGGAGCCCAAUAGAGGGGACAUAGAUGACUCCUUGGGGAAGUUUUCUCUCACACUGAUUGACACCCUUGAUACCCUGGUGGUGUUAAACAAGCUUGAUGAGUUUGAAGACGCAGUGAGAAAAGCCGUGACAGAUGUACGUCUGGACAACGAUGUGGUGGUGUCUGUGUUUGAGACUAACAUCAGAGUUUUAGGAGGGCUUUUGGGAGCCCACGUGAUGGCCGAUCUGCUACGGCAGCGUGGGGAGAGGAUGCAGUGGUAUCGCGAUGAGCUCCUACACAUGGCUAAAGAGCUGGGCCAUCGAUUACUACCUGCCUUUAACACCACAAGUGGCCUUCCCUACCCUAAGGUGAAUCUGCGUUAUGGAGUCCUAAACCCACUUUCACGAACAGGCACUGAAUCUGACACCUGCACAGCAUGUGCUGGAACAAUGAUCCUGGAGUUUGCUGCUCUCAGCAGACUGUCAGGAGAGGCUGUGUUUGAGGAACAUGCAAGGAAGGCUCUUGAUGUCCUCUGGCAGAGGAGACAGAGGGGAAGUGACUUGGUGGGGACUGUCAUCAAUAUCCAUAAUGAAGAAUGGGUCCGGAGGGACAGUGGAGUUGGUGCUGGUAUUGACUCAUACUAUGAAUAUCUGAUGAAGGCCUACAUUCUUCUCGGAGACAAUGUUUUUCUGGAGAGGUUCAACAUUCACUACAGUGCCAUUAUGAAGUACAUCAGUCAGCCUCCCCUGCUGCUCAACGUACACAUGCACAACCCCACUGUGAGUGUGCGCAGCUGGAUGGAUUCUCUCCUGGCAUUCUUCCCUGGCUUACAGGUUUUGAGAGGAGAUCUGAAACCAGCUAUUGAGACUCAUGAAAUGCUUUACCAAGUCACCAAACAACACAAAUUCCUUCCAGAGGCUUUCACUACAGAGUUUAGAGUUCAUUGGGGCCAACACCUACUGAGACCAGAGUUUGCAGAAAGCACCUACUACCUCUAUAAGGCCACUGCCGACCCCUACUACCUCAGAGUGGGACAGUCCAUUGUGGAAAAGCUCAAUGCCUACGCCAGGGUGCCUUGCGGGUUUGCUGCUGUGCAAGAUGUCCGCACUGGGACGCAUGAAGACAGGAUGGACUCAUUCUUUCUGGCUGAGAUGUUUAAAUACCUGUACCUGCUGUUUUCCGAGAAGAGCCAGCUGCCCAUCGAUAUUGACGACUACAUCUUCACCACGGAGGCUCACCUCCUUCCUGUAUCUCUCUCCACCACCCAGCCGCCCUGUCAAGGCAACAACACGGAGACUGUUCCUGUUUCUCAAGAAGAAGAUCUGUUCACACACUCCUGCCCCAGCAUAGAGACAUUGUUCCCCAACAACCCGUCGUUUGCCAAAACCAUCCGGGACAGCUACAAGUACCUCACUGGGGUGGGACGAGCCUUCCACCCUUUACCUGUCAGGGAAAUUGAACUACCGCUCCAUGAUAAUGGGAUGGAGCCAGUAGAGUUCUUGAAAAGCAUGGGCAUUUCUCUCACUCCACUGAAUGAGGUCAUGGCAGGAGACACCAGAAGUCGGAAGGAGCAUAAAGGAGUGUACCGGGUAAAACUUGUGGCAGAGGUGAGCCAUACACCUGAGGAGGAGGAGGUAGUGCCCCAUGUUGUUCAGCUCAUAUCACCCCCAUUUCUGGGUAGGACAGUCCUCACAGCGGGACCUGCCAAGUUUGGGAUGGACCUCACCAAGCAGGAACACGGGGUGAAGGGCAGCGUAGUGAAAGCCUCUCCCUACACUGCAUGUGGACCAAUAGAUAAUGCAGUGGAGCUUAAAGGGCACAUCGCUCUGGCACUGCGUGGGGACUGCAUGUUUGCUGUAAAGGCUCGUUGGCUGCAGGAAGCAGGAGCCAUUGGAGUCAUCUUUAUAGACCACCGUGAGGGAAGUAAUAGCAAGGAAACUCCCCUGUUCCAGAUGGUUGGAGAUGGCGACUCCACUGAAGACAUCACCCUGCCUUUGGUCUUCCUGUUCAGCCAAGAGGGUGCCAUGCUCAUAACAGCUCUGGAGGAACAUCACAAUGUGGAUGUGCUGCUGCUGCCCAAGGAGAGGCAGCUGGGACAUGAUAAGACAGAAAAACCUGUUGGCAUUAACAUCAAACUCCGCCUGGCAGAGGAGGGGGAGCUGGAGGAAGGAUCAUCCAGAAGGCCCACCUUGGAGUUUGUCUUGGAGAAACAGGAGAUGCUUCUGAAGGAAGAGGAGGAAGAAGAGCUCAGAGGACAACAACAAACGCAGCAGCAGUUCUGCUCAGAGGCAGCAGAGAAUGACAGGACUGAACCGUGUUCAGCAGAUUCCUCUCAAAACGCAAACUCUAACAGUGGACCAGACGCAAACCCCUAACCACUGCUGAUCCCAAAGCAGCCAACUAUGACCUCUCGUCAGUUUCUGAAUGGCGUGUGCCUCAGAGCCCCUCACUGCCUGACAUAGAGCCCUAACUGACUGUCUUGAUUUUGAAACCUAAAAAUGGUUCUACAUUUCUUCGAGUCGAAGUGGGGCUUUUAUUCUGUACGGGGCAGGUGUCUCUGAAAUGAGGAAUAUCCUGAGACUAAACUAGGUAGUUAAAGGCCAAAAGCUGUAGGUUAAGAUGGCUGGGCUGGUGCUGCCCACACCUAGCCUGUAGUGUUGCUAUUGUAGGCUCACACAAGAUGAUUGUGAUGAUAAGGAUUUAGAUCAUUUACUAGAAUUUUAAAUUACCUCACCCUAGAGGAAAACAUAGAUAAGGCAAAAAUGUACUCAGCUAGGUUUUUUAUGCAAUGCAGUUUGUUUAAUAUAGAGUGCACCUUUUCACUUGAACAACUACUGUUAAAUAUUCAGUGAUGGUGAAUGGAAUAUUACUUGGCCAGUAGGUGGUGUUAGUAAUACAAUCUUAGUAGAUGAAGGAGAUGAGCUGGGGCCAAUUUGGGAAGUUUAUUUUAUUUUGUACUGGUAAGCAACUUCAGGGAAUUUCAAGAGUGAAUGCAGUUUGCUAGGAUGACCCAUUUGAGCAUCACAGGCUGGCCUGCAGUCCCAGACUGCUAUGCACUUUGAAACACGGGUAUGAUCGUCCAUGGCAGAUUCAUUUGUUUGUGUGUGUUGCAAAAAGUAAUUGCAGUUAUUUAUCGUCCCAUUUACAUUGUACAAUGAUGCAGUGUUAUAGCCACCUUAAAUAAGGAAGACUCUAUGGGGUUUCGUUUAAAAACAGAAAAUCAUCUAAAACUGCAACAGUCAAACUGGAAAGGCCAAUUGAAUUCUUUACAUUGUUUCCAAAAUAUGAUAGAUACAGUUAUCUUUUGUCAUACUUUCUACACAAACUAAACCAUGUUCUGGGCAUUCUUAUGUGUAAUCACUUUAUGGAUCAAUUCGGGAGAUGCAUAACUCUUCGAUCAGUUUCUUCAUAUUCACUUUAUUACUCAGUACUUAUUUGUUGCAUAAUUUUUGUGUUUUGUGGUACAUUAAAUGUGAGUUUAUGUUUGCGCGGGGGAAAACACUUUUAAUGCCAGAGUAUGUUUUAUUUUAUGUUUUUACAAUGGACCUGUUCCUGAUGCUGCUGAGUUACAGUCUUAAUCCAACAUGACAUUUUUUAGUUUUUUGUUUAGCCUGAAUGAGGCUUUGCCAACCCGUAUACCUCAGGACUGUAACAGUUCACACCUAGAAAAGGACUGUGGACAAGAAGUAGGGGAUUCUUUUUUUUAAUCAUUUUUCAUGCAAUUUAAUUUUUUUCAGCUGUUUUCUAAGGUUUCUGUUGAUCAGUGGCUGAAAGUCAAGUGCCAAAAGAUAUGCAUAAAAUGGCUCCUGUUUCUGUUUCACAUCUUCUCUGUUUUUAGUUUCAGACUGUGAGCUGAGGCAGUCUCGUAAAUAAAUUUGAAAUCGCAAUUAUCAAACCUUUUAGCUUUUUUUCCUGCAUUCUAGAAUUGCGUCACUGCAUUUUCAGCAGCUGUGGAAUAUAUCUGCUCAGGAAUAUUUUUUUAUUCCGUGCUUGAGUGGAAUUUGACUGUAGAAUGUUCUAUUUCACUGUAUGUUCAGUAAGAAAGGUAGUCUUUGUAGUUUGAGCUUUACAUAUAAAAGAUGGAGCAAUAACACCAUAA